AGCAAUGGCGGCUCGUGGAGCCUCUCAAUAGUUCCCGGAAGUAGCGGCAAACCGAUGCCGCGCCGUAGAGAUGCAGCAGAACAAACCGUUUGCGACGCACUUUUAACAGGUGGAGGAUUAGUGGUGCCACUGAAGUGUUCUGUGAUGGAGCAUCAGUGAAGAUGCAGGUCAGGAGAGCUGAGGGGACCUUUUUUUUUUUGAUAGCUGAAUUUUCAUUAUUUUUCUUAGUGCUGCCUUUGCAUUGCUUGAUCUUUAUUUAUUUUUCUUGUCUCUUAAAUUUUUUUAAUAGACCCUGGUAACUGGCUGAUGGUUCACAGGAAUGCUGACUGGCUGCUGACUGACUUGCUGCUGGUUGACUGGGCAGUGUCACCUGUCCCUGUCUCUCCUCUCUAGCCAUGUCCUUUUUCUUCACUCUCACUUUCCUUUCUCUGAGUGUCCUCGUUCUUUUUUCCUCAACCUUUGAAACUGAUAGAGGUAGAAUACAUGGUUUUGCUAAUUUAAAAUAUUGAAAAUAUCACAUCACUUUACUUCAACUAGUACGAGUUUGUACUUAUUAUAUAUGAAUCACCUGAAAUAACAUAGCUGUAAUCAGCAGCCAUUUCUUGUAUGUUCACAGGUCUAGGGGGUGCAUCGUGGAGCAGGGCCCUCCUCUUUUUGACCACAGGACGAUGUACAAAGAUUGUGGGAAUAGCAUCUGGUCUCAGCCUACUCUUGAAUUUUUUGGUCAUGACAAAUUGCAUUGCCGCAAUUUGUCUGCAUACUGACUUCAGUUUAGUUUCCACACACACCUUUUUUUUUGUCUACCCACUUACAGUACAUAUCACAUGGUGGUUAAAUGCACAGUUAUAGGUAACACUGAUGACUCCCUGCAAUGUCUCACCAUGAGUCUCAGCUCCCUGGGUUUUGCAAGGCUUUGCUUGUUCCUUAUUUCUAGUAAAACAUUGUCAAUGUAAAAAAGUGCAAAUAAAUCGGGGAAGCCAUACAUUCGCACACCUUUCUCUGACUGAGUGGAGCAUCCCCAUGCAGCACAGUAAACCACGGUGGAGACUAUGCAAGGACAACAUGAAAGAAAGGACACAUACAAAAUGCUUGUCAUGCUAUGAAAUUUAUUAGAAAUGUAUUCAUGAAUUGCUGUAAAUAGUUAAUUGUAUAAUUACAAUUUAAAAUAACUGUUUUCUAUUUUAAAAUGGAAUAUACUCCUGUGAUGCCAACCUGAAUUUUCAGCAUAAUUUUGAAUGGCAGUGUACAUGUUUAUAUACGAGCAUGCUUAAGUUGUUUUAAACCUGAAUAUAUUGUGUACAUGAAUAAGUAUUGUAAGAAUUAUACUAGAUAUAAUAGGUAUAUUAUUUAUAAUACAUAAUUAUAUUACUAUAUGUAAUUGUAAGAAUUAUAAACAGUAAGCUUCAUUUUACAUUUAUUUAACAUGCUAAUUACUGCUGGUAACAGUUAAUUGACCCAUAGUGCGGUGCGAGCUGAAAAUCACCUGUCACCAGCCUGUCUCUGUACUACCUGAAAGUCAUCGAUAUGACAUGAGUUAACAUUAGAUCAGUGAAAAAAUGGACAAUAUGUAACGUAAAAAGGCAACAGCAACCCGUGUUUAUAAAACUUAACGUUAGCCUGAAAUACGUUUUUAAAAUAACGGUAAUUGAACACUAAUCCUCAAAUAAUACCCGAUUUGAUAUUUUAAAAACAACAUCGCUGUAACUACAUACUCAUGCUACAUACAUAAGUCAGUGUGUUGUAUAAACAUAUAAAAUAAAUGCAUUUAUUGACUCCUUAUUACCAGAAAUCGCAGUUCUGUCACUCUACUCUAUCAGUUUGAAUGGCCGCCAAUGCACUUCCUGGAACUAUUUGAAGUCUACACGAAUCACGUGACAACCAAACAUUUCGAACUUCCGUUGUCGCAACUCUCUCUCUAUA